rnacentral:rRNA from 1 species
AAUUUUCGGCGGGUGGCAGCUCACCACGGCCUCUCGUCUCGUCUUCGUGAGAGCAACAAGGAGACGCUGGCGUGCUCGAUCUCUUUUUGUCGACGGCGGCCCUCCUCGCCUCUUUUUAUAGGGGUUAGGGAGCGGAGGCUAUUUGGGAUCGGUCGUGGGAGCGGCCUAACGGCGGCCCUCGGGCGGCUUAGCCUCGAGCGCCUCACGCAACGUAGACGAGCGGCCUCGUCGGCGCGGCGCCAGCCAGCCAGCCAGCCCGCCCCUUAACGCCCCUCAAAAGCCCGCCAAGGGACCGGAGGGUCCGCGAGCGGCCGCAGCCUAGGCCGCCUCUCGCGCCCAAGACCCGCCCAGAGCCAGGCUAAACGAGCGGACCCAAUCAACAAGCAGGCGCGCGCCGACGCCGCCACCACCGCUGGCCGCCGACUCCAUACAUUUUCUAACCACCUAAGGUGAGCGGGCCAAGAAGUAAACUCCAGGGGAAGCUAACAACUACCACUAAAACGACGUACAACGAAGUUAGGGAACUGUAAAGUAGGUACAGAGACUACAAAGGGCAGGCACGAGACUCGACAAGGAGAAGAGGAAGGGAAGUCCGCCAGCGCAGCGCAGCUAAACCGCCCGCCAACGACGGUAACGCGCUCGGUAGGCUUCUCGGUUCCAGCUCGUCGGACAAGAACGGGUAAGGGCCGUUAGAACCACGGCAAACAAGGCGCCCCACCCACCCGCCCGCCGCGUCUUCCGCACUGGAAGGCCGCCGCGCUACGAAGGGUUCCGGGCUUAGGUGCGCCUGGGCCGCGAGCUCGAGCUCGAGCUGGACAAGCUGACGGACGGCCUGAGCGAGCAGGACGAGUAGGAGUUGUUCCACCUCCUGCACGCAAGGGAGCCGGCGACGAGGCGGCGCAGGUUCGCCAAGUUGCCCGAGCACGGGGUGCAGGUGCUGCAGACGCAGUUCUAGCUGGCGCAGCACCGCCAGCUGCCGCUGCCGCUCCUGCGGGAGUUGGACUGGAGCGGGUUCGGGGCCUUGUAGGAGAGGGUGAAGGAGUUCGACUACGAGAAGUGCUAGUAGUUCGGGAAGGUGUUGCGCGCGCCGGGGUUGCCGCGGCCCGCCGGCGAGAAGGGCGUCGAGCGCGUGGUGAGCGGCCGCGUCCACGAUGCCUCGAAGUGCGUGCAAGCCUUGGAAGUGUAGCUCGAGGGAAGGCCCCUACAGCCCUGGCUCCUGCCCCACGAGGACUUUACCGCCCGUCUCAUGCCCUCGUGCGAAGUCUUGACGCACUAGGAGCCCCCGUGGUCCCAACUGGCGUUCGGACAACCGCGUCUCGUGCUCGGCAGAAGCCUCCUGUUACCCUCGUACGGCCUCAGAAAGAUAUGGUUACCGCCCGAGUUCGAGGCACAGCACACCUGUUAGUCGAGGGAGUAGCGUCGUAGCUGCUCCGUAAUAGAAGAGGCCAGCUAGUAGUUCCUCGUGCGGUGUGAACACUCGAACCACGACUGGCUACGGCUACCAGUCCCGUGCGACUGGUACCCUCGUCUCGUCGACUUCCUCAAGUCUCUCUUGGUUGACAGCCGGAGUCGUACGAGGUUGUCCUGGGUCCAGGGCCGGACGUUGUACUUCGACUUUAUGCGCGGUAUAGAGCUCGACGGGCCUCCUUAGCGCAACGUCCCACGAUGUGACCAACGAUAGUUCGGGAGGUGGCUCCCUUCGUUACCGCCGGUACAGUCGGCGUUCCUUUGCCUGCGCAAGUAGAGACCUCGUAAACUACCCGGUAAGUUUAAGCGACGGUUCCGCGACUACUUCUCCGCGUGUAUGGAAGACCUCUACUUACCGAAGAUCCUCAAGAAGGCCCCAUAGACGAACGACCACGUUCUUCCCAGCAAACCGACGAAAUUGAAAACCAGACACAUUAUCAGACACGAACAACAGACCACACAAUCGAGAAACAUGUCACCACUGUAGACCAAUCGAUAUACUUUUUGUAUAGUUUAGUCAUGUAAAAGAGUAACGAGGGGAAGAGAUUGCUGUGAGACUACACUAGAUUGGGAGUAUGUUCGACGAAAAAAAAACAAUUACGUUC